UACGUAGGGGGGCAAGCGUUGUCCGGAUUUAUUGGGCGUAAAGAGCGUGUAGGCGGCCAUGUAGGUCCGUUGUGAAAACUCGAGGCUCAACCUCGAGACGCCGAUGGAAACCAUGUGGCUAGAGUCCGGAAGAGGAGAGUGGAAUUCCUGGUGUAGCGGUGAAAUGCGCAGAUAUCAGGAGGAACACCGGUGGCGAAGGCGGGUCUCUGGGCAGUAACUGACGCUGAGGAGCGAAAGCGUGGGGGAGCGAACAGG
rnacentral:rRNA from 1 species